rnacentral:tRNA from 1 species
GCCAGGAUGGCCGAGUGGUCUAAGGUACCAGACUCAACCCUUGGAAGUGUGAGUUCGAAUCCCACUUCUGACA